AUCCAAACUCCAAAUUUACCCUCGUAUAAUGCUACCUUUAAUUCUUAUAAUUCGUCGCUUAAAAUGCAAAGUUAACCUGUUAAAAAGUCGAUCACUAAAAUAUGCGUCUUAAGUCCAAACUCACUAUCUUUGAAAGUGACCUUGUAACUUCUCAUUAUAAUAAAAUUUCAUUUCUCGGUUUGUAUAGUUCAAACGUAUAAAAAAUUAAAAUAAGAAUAACCACGCCUUAAAACUACUCACAUGUUCAGUCUACACAACAUACAAUAAUUAAAUGGAAUCGCUUAAGUAAUAAAAUGCAUUAAUAGUUAACAAAAUUCAUAUUUUAUAUUGAUUUGUUUUCCUUACUAUACAACUACAUGUUCAUCUCGUAGACCAAAACGAAUUGAAAACCUUUUAUUUUCUUGAUACAAUAGAUGUCUUCAACUGUCGGACAAAAUAAUGGUGAUUCUCCGGUGAACAUUGAAAUCUCCGUCAAAGAGAAAAGAAGAAUAGAAAAUGGAGUUCAAGACAAGACUUAGAUCUUGAUCUAGAAGCUUAACAAAGUACUAUAUGAUGUAAAGCUUCAACAAAUGGGUUCCUAUUUUUCUCUAUUGGGCUUACCAGCAUAUUGGGCUAACUUAGUUGACUUUGGGCCUCAGCAGAUAAAAGCCCAGUAGAGAAUUGAGCAGAUAGGAAUAAGGACCUUGUAUUUUCCUUUUUCCAUUUUACAGUUAGGUUGACACUUGUAAAUAAUUUAUUUAGUUAGUUAGGGAAUAACAAACAGGAGUAGGGACACGUAUAGUAGCAUGUCAGCUUUAGAUUCUUUUCUUAGUGUAUAAAUACAUGGCCUUGUACAGUGAUUGAAAUCAUCAAAUACAGUGGAAAAUUUCCAACUUCUUUUCUUAUUCUGUCAUAGUAUCAGAGAAGGUUUAAUUCUGCUCAUAAUUGUUAUUAGAUUUUCUUUGUUUGUUUCAAUUUCUGCUAUCUCGUAUUUGAUCUGUUUCCUUGUUGUUUUUUAAUUUCAGCUAAAAUGGGAACUAGCUGUCAAUCUGCUAGUGAAGUAGUAGCUUUAGCUACAUCCAAAACUAAUGGAGUAGUUGAUUCUACUCAUCCCUUUAUCUUCAUCCCUCGCAUUGCCCAGGGAUGAACCUUGUUUCUUUACCCUUUGAUGGAAAAAGUUAUGGAGGGUGGAGACGUGCUGUAGUGAUUGCUCUUUCGGUGAAAAACAAACUGGGUUUUAUUGAUGGAUCCUUAGAUUCCGAACAAUGAAUCUGGUUUGGAGAAUUCCUUGACACACUGCAAUGAUAUGGUGUUGUCCUAGCUUUUGAAUUCACUCUUCAAAGAGAUGGAAAAGAGUGUUCUUUGAUCCCAAAGUGCUAAAGAUCUGUAGAGUGACUUGGAAGACAGGGCCCUUCAAUGAAGAGCCCUCUGGAGGUUGGUAAAGCAUAAGGAGGCCUCUAUUUUGUCAAGUCAUGUAAUCCAGCCAACAAUUCUAAAGUUCUUCCUAAGUCUGGCAAUGUUUUUCUUUCCAACAAAGUAUCUUGUAGGGCUUUGAAUGCUCCAGUUUCAAUUUCUACUUUCGAUCUUUUUAAUUCAAAUGUAAAAGAAAUGUUAUGGCACUAUCGAUUAGGCCAUAUGCCAUUAAGAAAUAUGAAGAAUGUUUUAUCUA